rnacentral:lncRNA from 1 species
GUACCGUGGACCAGAAAGAGAAGAAACAAAUCUAUUAUAUUUCAUUUUUAUUCUGUACAUUUCCACACGAUUCACAAUACAGAAAAAGUGUCCAAAAAUCCCCAGAUUCGUCCCACUCUCCCCCCGGGGGCAGACAUCCUGCUGUGUCCCAACUCACAAUCAGGAUACCAGCAAGCAACAAGAGCCUACCUAACUGCACUGCAAAUUAAUCCGGCCUUGAGAUGCCCAGAUUCCAGCUUUUUUCUUUUUAAAUAAAAGGAAGCAGUGUUUUGCAUGUCUGAGAAAAGUCCAAAGGAAGAUGCCUCCUACGGCUUUCUCAGAACACACCACACAGCCCACUCAUAGCCCAAGGCCAUCUUAAAGGAGCCUCAGAAGGAAAGUGAUCCCUGCUACUUAAGGUGACUCAUCUCUCAGGAAUCUGGAUCAGAAGGGAUCCUCCUGACUGAGGGAGGUCACACUCCUCUCCCUAAGCAUCCAAUGAAGGGACAAAGCAGAGUGGAGCUCGGAGAGGAAGGAUGCUGUGAGCU